rnacentral:lncRNA from 1 species
CCAACCAAACCCAUUAAUCUAUCUAUUCUCACAAUAUUACACUCAGAUUCGUUCACCAACUUUACAACUCAAUCUUCAUUUGUAAAUACUCUCUUAAUAAUCCACCUAUUCUCUUCCUCCUUAACAACUUCUCCACUGUUCUCUCUCUGUUCAGUUUCAUUUCAAUUCGAAUUUACAGAAGGUUUGUUUCAUUUCAAUUCCAAUUUCAUACACAACAAGAUCUUCCCUUGCUCAUGUCAAAUCUGGAACCAAAUCCUAUGGUUGAGCUUUUGACUCGAAUUCGAAUUCCAUCUCAGCAUCGAAAACGUCGAUGGAAACGUGGAAGAGUGACGUACGGCGGCGGAAAGGGUUGCGAGUCGGUGCCGGAGACAGAAAGGGUUAUGAGUAGGUGAAGUCUGUUGUUGGUUUGGGAGCUGACGGGGAGUUAUGUUGGGUUUGUUCAGCUGCAUCUGUGUUGUUGCUAUAAAUUCUGUUGUGUAAUGUUUGCCUGGCGUGUUGUUUUUCUGCUGGAUGGUAGUAGGCAUCUGUUUUGCUGUGUUUUGCGGCAUCUGUUUAGCCUUUUUAUGUCUUGUGGAUGUUGAUUUUUUUUCCUGGUGUAGUGCUGUAAUUUUAAGGCUAUGUUUUUGUUACUUCCAGCCACCUCUUGUGCUAGGCUGCUUUGUUUGAAAUAAAAUUAUGUUUCAAAAAAAAAAAUGUGUGCAUGGGAGUGGAGGGUAAGAGGAUGAAUUAAUUGAUUAAUUUUCAUUUUUCUGGAUAAAUGAUGAAGAUGAUGAUGAUAUUUAUGAAUGUGAUGUUGAAGAUGAUGAAUAAGAGAAAGAAAGAAGAUGAAGAAUGGGAGGUGCAAUACGUGUUAUAAGAAGAGAAAAUUUAUAGGAAAAUGGACCAUAUUAUCCGGUCUACGAGAUUGAUCAUUACAAAGAUGGGAAAAUUUGUGCUCGAAGGACGGGUAAUAUCUGAUUCUAAUAUCGGUGAAAAGGUGUUUAUUCCAAGGUUAUCGCUAACACCAUCUGAUAAUAGAAUUCCUUUCAAAUUUAAACGAAGGUAGUUUCCGAUAUCUUUCUCAUUUGCAAUGACUAUUAACAAGAGUCAAGGUCAGUCGCUAGAACAUGUUGGUGUCUACCUACCGUCUCCUAUUUUUUCACAUGGACAGUUGUACGUCGCACUAUCACGGGCUACUUCGAGGGGUGGUUUAAAAAUAUUGAUUAAUGACGACGACGGCGAUGAUACCGAUGUUGCAUCAAAUGUGGUCUACAGAGAAGUUUUCCGUAAUGUGUAGGACUUUUUUGUGUACUAUUCAUUUUCUUACUUAUUGAAACUAUUUGCAUGUCAACAAACUUCAAUUUCCCUUUCAAAAUUAUAUGUUAUUUUAAUGUAACAGGAACUACGUACUAGAAUUAUGGAACAAUAACAACGUCUUUGGUAUUGACAUUUUGCUUUGAUUCACGACAAUUUUUAGAUUCACGCGAACUACAAUGUCUUAUUUUUUCAGUGAAUAUUAUCUUUUUUAAAUGACACGUGCGUUAGCACGGGUCAAUGGUCUAGUGUUCCUAAAAAUUGUCCUUCGAGCACAAAAUAUUAGGUUAAAAUAUUAGAUAGGUUUUAGGAGGAGUGAAGUUAGGAAAUCAUGGUUAGGGUUUGGAGGAGGGGAAUUAGGAAAUAUUGUUAGGUUUUGAAGGAGGGAAAAGUUGCUAAAAUAUCUUUUAUUUAUAAACCUAACAUUGUUGCCCUAAUUCCACCUAAUAUUUAACCUAAAAAAUUAUAGCCACUUUUCCCUCCUUCAAAACCUAACCAUAUUUCCUAAUUCCCCUCCUCCAAACCCUAACCAUGAUUUCCUAAUUUCCCUCCUCCUAAAACCUAAUUCCCCUCCUUCAAAACCUAACCAUAUUUCCUAAUUCCCCUCCUCCAAACCCUAACCAUGAUUUCUUAAUUUUCCUCCUCCUAAAAUCUAUCUAAUUGAUUUCCAUAUUUUCUGUUGCCAUAUUUUUUUUCCUCACUUCCUCAACUCAUUUACCCUAAUAUAUUAUCUUUUAUCUUUUAUUUAUUAAAGUUAACCCGGAUGCUAAUUGUUGCCCUAAUUUAACUUAAAUUCAAUGCUUGCUUUUACUGUAUUACCCAUGUUUAAAAUAUCAAAUUGCAAAAAUCUCCUAUUUUAAAAAAAUAAAUUGUUUCCUACUAAACAGAUAAACUUUAAAAUAAAAAAAAACAAAUCACUCCUAUUAACAAAUUGUUCCUAUUUUAUUGCAGAAAUUCCCAAUUCUUUUGAACGAAACAAAUCCCUCCUACUUUUUUUUUAACAAAACAAAUCAUUAUUUCCUGCUGCUUCUGCUAAUAGAUUUUGUUACUCGCAUCCUUGGAGGUUGACUGGUCUAAACUCCCAUAGAAUUUCUGAAUCUGCAAAUAUCAUUUGUGUAAGAUGAUGAUAUAUGCAAUGAUUUUCAAUGUUUUUUCUUUCUCCACCAUGUUUUGAUCUGUAGCUUUAUUUUACAAAUUGCAGAUUUUGUUGAUGGAAAUGUGGAUUUGGGGAUAUGCAGGUAUGUUUGUUUAUUUCACUUUCAUUAUGUAAUUGUUUCAUUCUAAUUAUUAUUUUUUUCUUCCCUUUUUAUGUGUUUGUAUAGAAGUUUUUUUUUUUAUAUAUAUAUAUAAUUGCCUCACUUUCUCUGAUGGUUCCCACUAUGUCGUUGGAUUUAUCACCAAGAAGCUGGAAGGGUUGGUUCUAUCCAGAAAUUUGCAGAUAGGCUUCGUUGUUACACUUGGUCAUUACUUCUUCAUCUCACUUCAAAAUUGCAAGUGCGUUUUCUCUCUACAUGCGAAAAUUAUUAGCUUAUCUUAACGGGGCUCCACAAUGAUUUAAUUGUUUCAUUCUAAUUUAUUUUUUUUGUGUUUAUAUAGAAGCAUUGUUAUUGUUUAACAUUGAGAAGAAAAAUCAAAUGGAUUUUUAGCUGCUCCUCCUCUUUUAUGUGACUAAGGUUAACCACACAUCUUUCUCUCCAUUCAAUUCCUCUAUUGUACAAAAUAGCUUGCAAUAGCUUUUUAGACUUCUUACAAAAUCAAAGUAAUUGUUAUAUGAUUGGUGUGGGGUUUGGUUUGUUGAUUUUGCAGUUCAGGAAUUUUCAAAUUUGGGGUUGGAAUAAGAAUAGGAGCAUUUGUUUAGUUUGAUUUUUGGUUAUUUGUAAUCCGAUGACUUUUUGAAUUGCAUUGCUAUCUAAUUUAUUAUCAUCUCUUUUUUUGUUUGUUAUAUUCUAGAAGGAGGUUUAUGCGGUGGUGGUUGUUGCAAGAAGGCCCUCGCGGUGAUAAUUUAUACGGUGGUGGUUGAUUAAACUGAUGUGACUGUGUCUUAGAUGUCCCCUGAGCUAUGCAAACUACAAAUUAAGUUGUAAACCAUGAUUCAUAUCAUUGUUUUAAUAAGGAUUGGCCCAAUGCUUCAUGUGAUAUUCUAUUGGCUGAAUAAGGAUCUAUCUAAGCAUAUGAUUGUGUCUUCAAAAUAUGCUUAACUUACCAUUAACUAUAAGCAUGAUCAUUGCAAAACAUUAAUUGUAAAUCAUACCUUACCUACAUAAUAUAGCUAUAUAUUUCAUGUUAUUUUAAUUUACGGUUUUUAUGUGAUGUUGAACUCCUAAAUUACUAAUAUAUUGUGCUCAUCAUUGACCCGUGUGAUAGCACGGGGUUAACAAAUUAUGAGGUUUUGCUUGACAUGAAAGCAAUUUCUGUUAUCUGUCUCAUUUGCAAUAACUAUUAACAAGAGUCAGGGUCAGUCGUUGAAACAUGUUGGUGUUUAUCUACCGUCUCCUGUUUUUUCACAUGGACAAUUGUACGUCGCAAUAUAAAGGGUUACUUCAAAGGAUGGUUUAAAGAUAUUGAUCAAUGAUGAGGACGGCGAAGAUACCGAUGUGACAUCAAAUGUGAUCUUUUUUUUUUGUCAGGUAACCUAGCGGCUAGAAUUCACCUUAUAAGGUGAAUAAGUAGGGUGUCCGGGGUUCGAAUUAAUAUUAUGAAUUGAAUUAUAUUAUUAUUUCCAUUCAACUAAACUAUUUUGAUACAUAUUAGCACUUGAUAUAUUUAUCAAUAUGACCCGUGCUUUGCACGGGUUAAUGGUCUAGUUAGGUUAAAAUCUUCUUAUAUAUUAAAGUUAACACUUAAGCAUAUUGUUGCCCUAAUUUUAACCUAACCCUAAUGCCUUAAUUUUACUCUUUUAACCCUAGCUCACACCUAAUCUUCUCACACCUCUCUCCCUUUUCUCUCACACUCAAAUUUUUCCAAUCAGUCUAAACCUAACCCCCAAAAUUUUCAUCUCACACCUCUCUCCCUUUUCUCUCACACUCAAAUUUUUCCAAUCAGUCUAAACCUAACCCCCAAAAUUUUCAUCUCGCACUCAAUCCUCUCAUUCUCACUUGCUUCCGUCUCCGCCGUCAUCUCUAUCGCUUCCAUCUCCAAAUUUUCAUCUCGCACUCAAUCCUCUCAUUCGCACUUGCUUCCGUCUCCACCGUCAUCUCUAUCGCUUCCAUCUCCGACGUCAUCUUUAUCGCUUCCAUCUCCGUCGAGUUCAGUUUCCGCUGUCAUUCUACUCCAUCGAUCUCCACCGCUUUACUCCUCCGACGUCUCCUCCAUCACGGAUCUGAACUUUUAACGAACACUUCCUGUAUCAGCCGCCACUUUGUCUCCUCCGGCAACGAGGCCCUAACUCCGGCAACCAGGAUAUUCUCAUAGGUUCGUCUCUCUCUCUCUUUCUCUCUCUCUCUCUAAUUUCUUUUGUAUGAAGUCCACACUUGGCUGAGGUUCUUCUCAUAGGUUCAUCUCUCUAUCUCUCUAAUUUCUUAUGCAAUCACUAAUUUGGCUUUUGAUUUUGUGUUUUAUAAUCAUAAAUUUGUGUUUUCAUAAAAGGAAAGCUACGCUACUUAUAGGUAUGGAAAAAUAAGCCUUAGAAAUUUGUAUGUAUUUAAUUUAUUCUCUCUGUGUGUAUUUGCUAAAUUUCUAGGUAAUCAACGUCAAACCCUUCAGCAAUUAAUGGUGACUAUAAAGUAUACUCAAAUUGCUGAGAUUUUAGGAGCUGUAAAACCAUUUGAGAGUUGGCUCUUGAUAACAAUCAUGAACCAUUUUAUGUGUUGUAAUGUGGAGAGCAGAAUAUUGAAUAGCUUCAUCAUGGUGAGUUUUGUUUAGUUGUAGUUUAUGCAAUAAGCUUCAUUCAAUUGAUUUUACGCCCAUUUGGUAAUCAUAUUCACUCUUUAAAUCUAUAGAGUAAGUCAAAUGCGAAAGGCCGUAAGCCCUGAUUAUAUCUUGCUCAUUUGAAUAUAUGCUCAUUUGAUGAUUGAAUGACAGAUGCAGAAACAGGGAAAGUGUGAUUUCUUACCGAGGGAUAAUCAUAUUCACUCUUUAAAUCUAUAGAGUAAGUCAAAUGCGAAAGCAAUAAUCUUAUAAAUUUUGUUCCUAUGUUGUUCAAUAAGUCAUGUCAACUUGGUUCUGUUUUUUUUUUUUUCAUACACCUUCCAUUUGUACAUUUUGUUUAGUUCCAUCAUUGGUUGUUUGACAUGCAAAAUGUAAAUUCUAAAUUGCAGCCAAGUUUUCUAAUGUCACAUAUUAGUCGAAGAGAGUCUGAAGUUGCAAUGCAACCAAGGAAAUAAAAAUUAAGCGGAGGGUUAUUGCCUUGCCUUUUCCUACUGUUGGCAAGGUUUAGCUUUCAAUAAAUUUUCAAAAAAACAAUGUUAAGGUAGCAGCUUUCUCUAAGAUUUUGUUUUUUUUGUUAAUUUUUUGAACAUUUGAUUGCUAAGUGAAUUGAUAUAUUGAUAGGUCGUAACACUACCUGACUGGUAAACUUUUUAACACAUAUUCCUUUAAAUCUUAAAAAUCUUGCAGAAAAUUGAUGGUAUGCACCUCUAUUAAUAUGAUUUAUUUACAUCUUAAAAAUACAUGUUAUGCUUUCAAUUGAUGGUAUGCACCUUCCAUUUGUACAUCCUAUUUUCUAAUAUGGAAACCCUAUUGCCUUAAUUUACUGUUUUAACCUUAAUGCUUAUUUUAUUUGUUCUAUUUUUUUGUUUCAACAGACCUUAAUGCUUAUUUUGUUUGUUCUAUUUAUUUGUUUCAACAGAACGGCUUAUUCUAUUUGUUCUAUUUUUUUGUUUCAACAGAUCUGCCAAAUCACACUCAUAACCAAAUCUCCUAUUUUCUUUAACAAAAGAAAUCGGUUCUUCCUUUUCUCUUGCUUCACCACAUACUAGAAGCAACAUCACUCCUGGUUAGUUAACAUACCUUUGUCUUUUCUUUGAUUCUCUUCUUUUCAUCACUAUUAACCCUAUUCUUUUCACACAUAUUCCUUUAGAAAACAUGGCCGGCAUAAAUAUAGAGACUCUUUUGUCCUAUCACUGCCUAACUGGUAAACUUUUUAACACAUAUUCCUUUAAUCUAAUUAUAUUUUUUCUGCCAUAUAUACAUGACAAAAAUUUCACUUUUGUUUUUUAUAGGUCCUUUGAUCAAAAACCCACUUUCAGAAUAUGACAAGGCAAUCAACAAGCUACAAGUAAAGUACAGAACAUACAUCGUCGAGUACGACUUCGACACUGUGAGUAUACUUUCAUUUUCGUUGUACAGAACAAGCUAUAAUGUUAUUUUUAAAUUAUAAACAGAUAGUUGUUGAAUAGUGUUGUUUGCUAAAUUUAUUGUGCUGUUUGCAUAUCAUAAAUGUUUCUUCUAUUUUAGAAACUAAGUGUUUAUUAUAUAGUGCUGUUUGCUCUAUGUAUAAUGAUUUUCGUAUGUGUAGUGCUGUUUGCAAACCAUGGAAUUGAAUCAUCUUAACCUUUUAGAGUAGUUGAAUAGUGUUGUUUGCUAGCUGUAUAGUUAUGUUCUUAUCACCUCUUGAUUUUUUUUAAAUUAAGAGGCACAUCUAUCAACCAGUGUUCAUAAGCCACAUGUUUGUCUAAUCAUCCAUAUUAGUUCAAUGUCCUUUUUUUUUUAAAUUACGGUAGCUCUUGCCUACCAUAGUGUGAUAAAUAUUUAUAGAUUCAAUUUAAAACAGUUAUAAUAAACAAAUAAUUUUGUUGUUUGCACCAGGGUGCCGUAUCCUUGCCAAGAAUGUUCGGCAGUGAUUUUGGAGAUCAGAUUGGGCGCUUUGCAACAUUGACUGAUCCAAAGGGCAAUCAAUUUGAGGUCUUAGUCGAUAGCAUUAAUGGUGACUUUUUUUUAACAAAGGGAUGGAAAGCAAUUCGCGAGUUUUAUGGGAUUAGUCUAGGAGCUUGGAUUACUCUGAUUUUUGUUGGUGUUGGACAUUUUGAUAUGAAGCUGACUGAUAGGUUUCACAAGAUUAUUAACUAUCCCGUUUUUGAUCCACCCAUGCAUUUCCUUAUUGACAGAACUAACGUGCACACAACUUUCAACAAACAUCUCCAGCCCAAAACAUCUCUUCUCUCUUAUCGUCAUAGUAUCAAUUACAUGAUUAUAGAUUUCGGAAAAAAGUUAUCUCAAUAUGAUGUAACAAAGGGUGCUUUGGUAUGAUACACUUUUCCGAUAAACAUCGUUUUUUAAUUAGCUUCUCAUUGACUAAGUUAUGAUUGCUUCCAUUUUGGUUUAUGCAGAUACUCAUUUACACAGGAAAUGUUGCGCAAAUGCUGGAUACUUCUGCUACCAAUGUGAAGAUUGUGGAUGAUUGCGGUAAUGUAUGGGACUGUGACUUAAUUUUUGGUACUCUUCCUUACGAACACUGCAGGAUAGGUGGGCAGUGGAAGAGGUUUGUGGAGGCUCGCAGGCUGCGUGAAGGUGUCAAAAUCAGAUUGGGAGCUCCGAUGGCUGGAAUGAAUGAUUUCAUUUAUCUCGAUGUUGUUUACGAUUAGACCAUGUUCAUUUAAUUGCUUCAGAACCUUGCAAGCAAUUUCUUUUAUCAGAUCCACCGUGUUAUUUUUAUUGCUUCGGAACCUUGCAAACAUUUGCUUUUAUCAGAUCCUUCUAUUUUGUAGUUUUAAAUUUCUCAAGUAUUUUCCAUGUUCCAAUCACUAUCUAUCCAUAGCAAAGUAUCUACUUUUUAUUUUGGUGUUCCUCUUGAAUAUAAAACACAUAAUAUUGUAGAAAAUCCACAAGGAGAACUAUCUGAUCAAGUUGUACAAUCCAUUAUGUCCAAAAAUAUAUUUUGAAAUAUUGCAAGCAAUUUCUAUCUGUGGCAAAAUAUUGUUCAUAAUGACACACUCCAUAGCAAAAUAUCUACUUUUUAUCUUGGUGUUCCUGUUGAAUAUAAAACAUAUAUAAUAAGUAAAGUAAAUAGAA